rnacentral:rRNA from 1 species
UACAGAGGGUGCAAACGUUGCUCGGAAUCACUGGGCGUAAAGCGCGUGUAGGCGGACUGGAAAGUCGAGUGUGAAAUCCCUGGGCUCAACCCAGGAACUGCAUCCGAAACUACCAGCCUAGAGUGUCGGAGAGGGAAGUGGAAUUCUCGGUGUAGAGGUGAAAUUCGUAGAUAUCGAGAGGAACACCGGUGGCGAAGGCGGCUUCCUGGACGAUAACUGACGCUGAGACGCGAAAGCGUGGGGAGCAAACAGG